AGGGUUUGAUCAUGGCUCAGAUUGAACGCUGGCGGCAGGCCUAACACAUGCAAGUCGAGCGGUAACAGGGGAAGCUUGCUUCUCGCUGACGAGCGGCGGACGGGUGAGUAAUGUAUGGGGAUCUGCCCGAUAGAGGGGGAUAACUACUGGAAACGGUAACUAAUACCGCAUAAUCUCUCAGGAGCAAAGCAGGGGAACUUCGGUCCUUGCGCUAUCGGAUGAACCCAUAUGGGAUUAGCUAGUUGGUGAGGUAAUGGCUCACCAAGGCGACGAUCCCUAGCUGGUCUGAGAGGAGGAUCAGCCACACUGGGACUGAGACACGGCCCAGACUCCUACGGGAGGCAGCAGUGGGGAAUAUUGCACAAUGGGCGCAAGCCUGAUGCAGCCAUGCCGCGUGUAUGAAGAAGGCCCUAGGGUUGUAAAGUACUUUCANUCGGGA
rnacentral:rRNA from 1 species